rnacentral:siRNA from 1 species
ACAUAUUUGAUUCAGAGGUAA